AAUUCAUCAUUUCAUGUAUGUUUUCAUAGAAUAUAAGUACAUUUCGGAGAGACCCCCAACUAAUAACAGUAGUUUUAUGAGUGAGUUUCAGUGUUGUAUUCAGUGGUGUCAUUUCCGGAACAUUCCAUGCAGACAGACACUGUAUCCAUCCAUCCAGGCUGGAUUCUGUAGUAGUCAAUGUAUGCUUUCCUACCGUGCCAUUUGCGCCCUCUGCAGGUUAAACGAGGACACUGCAGGAUUUACCACAUGAAACAAGACCAAAUUACAGUACUUUGCCAAAUUAAAUUAUAGCUGAAAUAAACAGGCUUUCUGCAGAGUCACUUCCCUGGUAUAGGCAGAACAAAGUCAGCCACCCAUGUGACCUGAAACGGAACAUCUUUCCUGAACCUGCUGUUACAGAGACUAGAAGUAAGUACUGAGCUCUUCGGAUUGACGCUAACUCUCUCUGUGCGCUGUCAGCAUUGGAUACCUGAGUGUUCUAUUGACUGUGUUUGGAACGGAGACAUUUUUAUUAUUUGUCAGUAUUUGUCUCAGUCCGUCGCUCCUGUGAUUGGAACAGGGAGCAGCUCACUGUGUGCUCUGUUGUACUCGGCACUCUUUACACGACUCCAGAUUCAUGAAGAAUUAAUGGACAGAUUUCGUUAUUAUCCAGAGACAGCCUGCAGAUGCUCGGUGCUCCCAGUCUGUGUCAGGGAUGAUUUCCAGCCUGUGCAGGGCUAGGCUAGCAAGUGGGAUCACGUAGCUCAGUAGUUUUUUUUAUUUUUAUAAUUUUGGUGGGGGGAACUGGGACAGACGUGGGCGGUAGGAAGGGGGAAGAGCUGGGGAACAGAGAGAUAAACAUGGUGACUGGCAACUGUGAAAAAACAGUCAGACGUGAGAGGUGGGGCUGAGAGACAGAUGCGUUCUGGUGUUUUUAUUAAACAAUGGACAGUGCCUGUGAAUAGUGUUUGUGAAAGUCCAGCAUAUCAGUGUGACUAUGUGUGAUGUUUGAACGAAAAUGUUGCUGUGAGAGUGAUUUGUUUUUAGAGUGUUUGUGUAAGUGGGUCUGUGAGGCUGUCUGUUAGUGUCUGUUAAGGUGUUUAUUGUAUGUGAGUGGGUCUGUGAAGGUGUUUAUUAGUGUCUGUGAGUUCGCCUGUGAAGGUGUUUAUUAGUCUGUGAGUAAGUCUGUGAAGAUGUUUAUUAGUGUCUGUAAGUCUGUGAGGGUGUUUAUUAGUGUCUGUGAAGGUGUUUAUUAGUGUGUGUGAGUGGGUCUGUGAAGGUGUUUAUUAGUGUCUGUGAGUAAGUCUGGGAAGGUGUUUAUUAGUGUCUGUGAAGGUGUUUAUUAGGGUCUGUGAGUAAGUCUGUGGAGGUGUUUAUUAGUGUGUGUGAGUGGGUCUGUGAAGGUGUUUAUUAGUGUGUGUGAGCAGGGCCGGACUGGGGAUACAAAGCAGCCCUGGAAAAAAAAAUUGUGCUAGCCCCCACACUGACACAUUACUAAUACCUGCCAGGGGGAGGUGUUCUGGAGGCCGCUGGGGGACUUGUACUGGAGGCUGCUGGGGAGGUCUGCUGGCGGCCGCUGGGGGACUUGUACUGGAGGCCGCUGGGGAGGUCUUCUGGAGGCCGCUGGGGGACUUGUACUGGUGGCCGCUGGGGGAGCUGCGCUGGCUCUGCUCUCCCGUCCUUGCGCGCUGCUGAAUGAGACCGGCGCCGGAAUAUGACGUCAUAUUCCGGCGCCGGUCUCAUUCAGCUGAGCACUGGGGAGCAGAGCCAGCGCAGCUCCCCCAAUGGCCGCCAGUACAAGUCCCCCAGCGGUCGCCAGAAAACCUCCCCAACGGCCGCCAGCAGACCCAGGUGUCUGCCUGGCCCCAGGUGCCAAAGGCCCACCAGGAAAUUUCCCGGUAUCCCGGUGGGCCAGUCCGGCCCUGUGUGUGAGUGGGUCUGUGAAGGUGUUUAUUAGGGUCUGUGAGUAAGUCUGUGGAGGUGUUUAUUAGUGUCUGUGAAGGUGUUUAUUAGUGUCUGUGAGUAAGUCUGUGAAGGUGUUGAUUAGUGUCUGAGUAAGUCCGUGAAGGUGUUUAUUAGUGUCUGUGAGUGGGUCUGUGAAGGUGUUUAUUAGUGUGUGUGAGUGGGACUGUGAAUGUGUUUAUUAGUGUCUGUAAGUCUGUGGAGGUGUUUAUUAGUGUCUGUGAAGGUGUUUAUUAGUGUGUGUGAGUGGGUCUGUGAAGGUGUUUAUUAGUGUGUGUGAGUAAGGCUGUGAAGGUGUUUAUUAGUGUCUGUGAGUAAGUCUGUGAAGGUGUUUAUUAGUGUCUGUAAGUCUGUGAGGGUGUUUAUUAGUGUCUGUGAGUGGGUCUGUGAAGGUGUUUAUUAGUGUGUGUGAGUGGGUCUGUGAAGGUGUUUAUUAGUGUCUGUGAGUAAGUCUGUGGGGGUGUUUAUUAGUGUCUGUGGAGGUGUUUAUUAGUGUCUGUGGGGGUGUUUAUUAGUGUCUGUGGAGGUGUUUAUUAGUGUAUGUGAAGGUGUUUAUUAGUGUCUGUGAGUAAGUCUGUUAAGGUGUUUAUUAGUGUGUGUGUGAGUGGGUCUGUGAAGGUGUUUACCACCACGUCGUGCUUGUUUCCCCUUGACUGGUCCUGCCUCUAUGGCUGAGAUCAUCAAGUUUGAUGAUCUCAGCCAAUCCGCACUGACACAGGAAGCACCUCUAGUGACCAUCUGAGUGUUUGUCACUAGGAAGCAAUGUAAACACUGCCUUUUCUCUGAAAAGUCAGUGUUUACAUUGAAAAGCCUGCAGGGACAGGCUAUAGACACCAGAACCACUACAUUAAGAUGUGAACUUACAAUUUAAAAGAAUAAUGUGCUUUGAGACACAAGGAUGCUGGUGAGAAAAUUCAGUCACUUGAUAACUAAAAAUAUAGCCUCAUACCCUGGAUAUACACUGCAAACGAGGUGCAUUGAGAAGUGAUAGUCUUUUAUAUAUAAUGCAGUAUCUGUGCUGUCAGUUUGAAUUGGCACUGCUGGGGUAGGUGGGAGAUCUGUAUGCUUUUCAGCAUCUGUAAUGGAAUACAAAAUUGUUUUUAUUUUCUUAAUAAGUGCAAAAUAGUUAGUGAUGCAGUUUGACACGGUGUAAUACUUCUCAAUAUGUUAGCAAAGCAUAGCUCAUAUAAAUCUGUUAUUACUAUAUGUUGCUGUGAUAAUAUUGGGUAUGAAUGUAUUUCCUGGGUUACAGAUAUGGCUCAACUUAAGGAACACAGAAUCCUGGACUACGUGUUGAAGAAUGCUACCCGUGGUGACCCGAAGAGUGUGGUGGACGCCAUUGACCAAUACUGCAGCCAGAAGGAAUGGGCCAUGAAUGUUGGAGAUGAGAAAGGUAAAAAGCCGUCUUUACCAUGGGGGUGGGCAAUUAAAGGAAACCUCCAAGCACGGCAACGACUACCAUAGCGCAGAAAACAUUUGCUUAUAUAGAAAAUUAAAUCAACACUCCAAGUACCAUAACCACUAGCACUUGCUCUAGGGGUUUGUAUGCCAGGACUGCCGUAGCACCCCACACCCUAUUGUAAGUCAUCAAAUAGUUUUUAAAUAGUUUGAAUUCAUACCUGGGUCUGCCAGGUGUUGAUCUCUACCUCCACUAGGAGUGCUGGGAACCUGAAAGCUUGUAUGUAGGAACUUUUCAUAGCUCUCCUGAGCUAAGCCCUGCAGGUCUAACUCAUUGGCUGAGCGCGACAGCUCAGGAGCUCAAGAGAGCUUACUGACGUUUUUGCUUAGGAACUUCUGGCUCAACAGCAUCAAUAUAGGAGGUGAGGAGUAGUGCCUGGAUGACGUCUGGUAAGAAAUCAAACCUUCCCAAAGCAGUUUGGCUACAAACAAUUGGGGGAUGCCAGGGCACUCCUGACACCAUAACUACUACAGUGUGCUUGGAUCAUCUAACAUUGGAAUAUGGAUCUGAGUUGGUCUCCUGGUAGUUUUAUGUGGUACCGCCUUUUGCAUUAGGAGAGGAUUAAGGAUUCUUAUUGUAAAUUACGCAUUCUCGCAAUCACGGAAGCGCGAACUGCAACGUUUUUAAAGGGUUACUGUGACCUCAUGUUAAGUAUAGUCUUUUUGAGAAAAAAAAUCUAUGUUUUUCAGCGAUUGUUUGACAACUUAUGUGACUGAAUUUAAAGGGCAAUAUACUUUAUUGUGAUUAAGAUUGCUUUAAUCUGUGUGACAUUUUUUCCAAAGUAUUCUCAGUAAGUUCCUUAAUCUUCUUAGCUGUAUAAGUCUCUCAUCUGUUCAGACGACUAGAGUACAAUUUCUAUAAUCAUCGUUAUCCCUACUGUUAAUGAAAAGAUAUGUUUCCUUACGUUUUGAUGCCUAUUAAGAUCCCUAGAUAGCUUAUAUCACAGUUUAUUACAUGUACUAUUAGCCUACUCUGGAACAUUUUAACUGAAUUAAUAAAAGUCAAGAAUUUUUCAUUUAUGUCCAUGGUGCCAUAAAUGAUUCUACUUUUCAGGCCUGAUCCUGGAUCAGAUAGUGAAGGAGACUGAUCCAUCAGUGUUGCUGGAACUAGGCACGUACUGUGGAUACUCGGCUACCAGAAUUGCCCGGCUACUUAAACCCGGCGCUCGCCUCCUCACUGUGGAGAUGAAUCCAAUACAUGCUGCCGUUGCCAAACAGAUAAUUGAAUUUGCUGGAGUGCAGGACAAGGUACUUCCUGAUUUUAACUAUAAGGACAAUGACCAUUUUCUGUAAUUAUAUUUCCAAGGCCAUCUGUACAUCUCUAUAAAAUAUGUGCAUUUGAGAAUGCAGGUGAAAAACAAUCAACAUGCGCAGAAUAAAUACUAAUAUGUAUUUUAUGAUAAUGCCAAUUAAUGACUUAAUGCACUUACAUUUUAUUUGACCAGCGGUAAAAGAGUAUUUUAUUUCCCAGUAUUCUUGUCAGGUAGGAUUGCCAUCCAUUUCACAUUUCAAGGACCAAUAAUGGCUUCUGCCAUGCACUGUUAUAAUUUGGGGAUUAUAAUUACAUGUGUGGGGAGCACAAGGUGACUGACCUUCCUUCAUCUUGCAAGCUAUGUAACAAAUGUGAGGAAGGCUGAACUUGAUGAACACAUGUCUCUUUUCAGCCUAUGUAACUAUGUGCCAUGUAUGGCUGUAAAUUUGGGUUUGUAAUAGAACAUGUGGCCCUUGUGGAACCUGAAAAGGCUUCACAACAAAGUCUGUGAUCUUUAAGAAGGUCCUGGGUGCUUUAUUGGGCCCACAUUUUCAACCCUGCUAUUUCUGGUUGUCCAUUUUUCCACAGCUUAACCACCGCCAGUUUGACAGAUUUAAAGAAUCAGUAUGUUAUCUUUAUGUAUUUAUUAGGGUAAGUGCUGGUUUGUAUGUGUAUGGGAAAGUGUUUGCAUGUGACUAUGAAGGGUGAGUAUGUCCAUGUAUAACAAUAAGUGCGUACAUGUAAAGAAGGGUGAGUGAAUACAUGUAUGAGGAUGUGUGUGUACAUGUAGAAUAUUCUGUGAGUAUGCAUGAGGUAAGUGUGUAUAAGUAGAAGGUGAGUGUUCGGGCACUAGGGUAAAUGUGGAGAUGGGCCAGUUCUAAUUUAACAUAGUCUCAAAUUAUUUAAAAAAAAAUAUUUAACAUUACUGAAAAACCAAAACACACAACACAAGUGAACUGUACAAGAAUAUACAAACAAAAAAAUAGAAAUCCCGGGUGGAUAAAGUUUAAGUACCAAAAAAGAGAAGUAAAGAUUUAACCAAAGAGCAAGAAAGACACUGUACUCAGGAACACAAGAAAAAGGGCCUUAAUCCCUUUCAAAAACCGACUAGGUGAAUAGAAAAUAUACAAACAAAAAAAUCCUGUGCUAAAAUACAGGGAUAAAGUAAUAAAGUAUUGCAGGAAACAAGAUGGGAAAAAGAAAGAAAAGAUGGAUGAAUACAGGGAAAAUGCAACCAAGGAGGGAAAGGGCGGGAAUGGAAUUUAAAAACAAACAUAAUACUUAAGAUGAAUCCUCUGGUGUCAAGUGUGAUCGCUGAUAAACAGAAGCCAAAUAUUUUUCCUGGGAUCAAUUAAGAUCCACCAUGAGAAUUUAUUUUCUCAACUCUCCGCAGCCAGUGAGUCCCUGACUCGUGCCACUGCCUCCAAUAUAGCAGAACCAUGCUAAUUGCAACAGUCAUAGCCUCUUAUUAUUUAUUCCAUCAUUGUGUUUGACUAUUUAGCCAAAUAGAGGAUGGAAUAAAUAUUAAGAAACCAGGGCCACAUCCUCGUGCAUUUUAACUUUUUUUUUUAAUCUGUUCAACUUUAUAUCUUCAAGCUCUUUAUUUCACACUUCAGCAGGGCCGGUGCAAGGAUUUUUGCCGCCCUAGGCAAACAAAAAUUUGCCUCCCCCCGCCCCCCAUAUGCUCUGCCCACCAUGUGUUAUCAAUAAUGGCCUACCCAUAUGAUCUGCCAUAUGAGCCAACGCCAGUGCUGCACAGAGUGUCUUUUCUCUAAAACGCAGUGUGUUUACAUUAAAAAGCCUGCAGUGACUGGCUAUAGACACUAGAACCACUACAUUAAACUGUAGUGGUUCUGGUGACUAUAGUGUCCCUUUAAUGUGAGGUAAAUUAGAGAUUAGUGCCACUAAUAAUAUACUGGACUGCCUACUUACCACCAGAUGAGAAUAAAAAGCUCAGGCUGCAGUCUAGCUCCACUGGUCUGGUGUUAAAACAGGCUCUCUGGAGGCAGUGCUCACAAAAAUAAACAAACUAGAAGCAGCUCCAUUUUCUGGGGCCCCUUACACAGAUCACGGUCUGGGCCCCCAGGGCCUGACCAUGAGUAUGCCUACAAGGCCUGCCCAUAAGCCUUAUGCCUACAAGACCCACCCAUGAGUUCGCUCACAGGGAGUGGAGUGUAUUUGUGUAGAGGAUGUGUUAUGUGUUAUUGGAGAGGAUGUAAUGUGUGUGUUCUUAUGGAAUGUAAUGUAUAUGGAUACCAGUUUGUGUAAGGGAUGUAGUGUGUGUGUGUGUAGGGGAUGCAGUGUGUAUGUGUAUGUAUGUAAGGGAUGUAUUGUGUAAAUCUAUGUUUGUAUGUGUAAGGGAUGCAAGGUGUGUUUCUGUGUAAUGUAAUGCAGUGUGUGUCUGUAAUGGGUGCAUUUAGUGUAACAGAUGCAUUAAGAGAAUCAGUGUGUGCUUCUGUGUAUGUGUGCAAGGGCUGCUUUGUUUGUGUGUGUUUGUGUGUAAUGGAUGCAUGGUGUGUUUCUGUGUGAGAGUAGAAUGCAUUGUAUGUUUCGGUGUGUCUAUAUAUGAGUAGAGAUGCCCCCAGGCCCCCACCCCCAUAUUUCUCUUGGUGGUCGCCCCCCUCCCCUCCCAUCUUUCCCUUAGUGGUCUCUCCCCCCCCCAUCUUUCCCUUAGUGGUCUCUCCCCCACCCUUAGUGAUCUCCCCUGCCCCCCAUGUCCCUUAGUGAUCUCUUCUCCCCUCCUGUCCCUUAGUGCUCUCCCCUGCACCCUGCCCCUACAAAUAAAAACAUGUAGUAUAUAUUGUAAAAAUAUUGUAAUGGAAUUAGAGUCCGAUAUAAAGUCCAAAUUGCCAAAACGCGUUUCACUCAUCCAUAAGCUUCCUCAGUCAGCUGUAGUCAGGAAACUCAUGGAUGAGUGAAACGAGUUUAGGCAAUCUAGACUUUAUAUUGGACUUUAAUUCCAUUUUUACUUUUAUUUUAUUUUUUAUUUUUUUAUAAUUCUUUAUUUACAGUUUUUUGAGUAGAUACCAGUAUUGAAGGGAAGGGAUACAGAAGAAAGAGACGGGAGGUUGGGGUUGGGUUAUUACAUUGUCUUCCAUUCGUGUGUGUACCAUCGCAGGGUACUCUUUUAACCAUGUUAAUACAGUCGCAUAUACAGGUAGUGGAUUUUGUGAGCAAUGUUCGGCGUGGUACACCUUUAUCGGUUAACUUUCUGUGUCUGUGUAUACCUAUGUUUCAUCCUCAGAAGGAUGCAGUGGGGUGUGGCGAAGGUGGUCAGUUCGGAGUUAGGUACCCAGGAAUGGGUUUGUGUGCUUUUCUGCUAGGGUUGUAGUUGGGCUCCUGUUGAGUGUUCUGUCCUGGGUGACAUGUCCCGGUCUGAGGUCUGUCUUCUGGGUGUGUGUGUGGCAUUAGUGGGUUUGUUAGUUUGCCCCCUAUGCUUCAUAAGUGGGUUACCGGAGUGGUCGGGGUUAUGGUAUAAUCCAUUUGGGUCUUGUGUUGUGGCUGGUUCCCGGGGCAAUGUCUCCCGUGGCCACCCUGGUGGUCCUCGCUUUUAGUCCCCAUGUGUCAAUCUAUCCUGUUAAGGUAGAGGUUCUAUUGUCGUCUGUUCGUUUUCUUAUUUCUUGGAUGCUGUUUGUAUCCUUUUUGUGGAUAGCUUGGGGGAGGGGUGAUGUAGGAUGUGGGGGUAGGUUGGGAAGAUAUUGGCUGAGGGGUCGGGGUUGUAGCCCGCGUGCCGCCCUGGUCGCCGCGCCCUCUCGUUCAGACUGUGAAGGAGCCAUGGGUAGUGAAAGGCUAGUGUUAGAGUUGAUGUGUGUUUGAGGGAGUGUGUGGUGGAUUCUUGGGUGUUUGUCCUGGGGUUGUGUUUUUAUGUUUCGGGUUUGGGUGGGUCACCACGGGGUGGUUGUAUCUCCCUCUAGCCAUGGGUCCCCUAUUUUGUGAAACUGUUUGGGAGUGUCUCGGAUUUGUGCUGUAAAUUUGGCCAUAUGCGAGCUUUCCGUUAUCUUCCUUGUGAUCGUCUCUUGUGUUGGUAUGCGGGUCGUUUACCAGAGCUUUGCAAUGGCUCUGCGUGUUGCUAAAGUUAUUCGGGCGAUCAGUUUGUUUUCUGCUCUCGUGAAUGGUUCUAUAGGUUUAGAGAGUAACAUGGCCCAGGGGUCUAUGGGGCAGGGUUUGUGCAAUAUUUUGGUUAUUAGCUGAGCGGUGCUCUGCCAUAGUGGUUUGAGUUUCGGGCACAUCCACCAGCAGUGGAGGAACGUCCCCUUUUCCCCACUUUGUUUCCAACAGGUGUUUGAUGAGAUGUGGUGCAUGAUGGCAAGGCGGUGUGGUGUGAGGUACCAGCGGAAUAGCAUUUUAUAUGCUUGUUCUGUGUGUGUCACGCAGAUGGAAACGGAGGCUGUUGCUUCCCAUAUGUCCGACCAGUCUGUUGCGUCUUCUGGGGGGCCGAGGUCCGCCUCCCAUGCUGCUAUGUACGGGAGGGAGCGGUGCGUGGAGUGAUUGGCUAUGGUCAUGUAGAUGUCUGAAAUUUGUCCCUGUCUGUUCGGGUGGAUCGCGCAGUCGCGUUCGAAUCUAGUGAGUGGGGCCGUGCCAGCUUGUUUGAUGCUUGGGGUCGCUGCGAAACUGCGUAGUUGGAUAUAUCGAAAGUAGUCGAACAUUGUGAGGGAUGAUGACUCCGUGAUAUCUGUGAAUUGAAUGAUUUCAUUGUCCUGAUAUAGAUGUCCUAUUCUUGAUAUGUCUCUCUGUUCGAACUGGGAGAAAUGUUUGGGGGUGAGGCCUGGAGGCAACAGUUUGUUCCUCCAGAUCGGGGUCAUGGGUGAGAGGAAUGACGAUAAGUCGUAUUUAUCUCUCAUUUUAUCCCAUAAGUCUAGUGCGUGGCUAAUUGCGGGAGCGGUCGGUGGGGGUAGGGGUCUGUGUGGUUUAGGUACCCACAUAUAUAGGGAAGAGUGGUCCCAUCCGAAAAUCAGGUGUUCCAGGUCCACCCAUCGUUUCUUUCCAGGGGGAACAUGCCAGUGCUGUAUCUGUGCUAAUUGUGCCGCAGAGUGAUAAUGUGUGAAGUUUGGGAGGCCCAGUCCUCCACAUUUCUUGGGCACGUAUAUUGUGCUCCUGCAGACCCUUGGUUUGCGUCCGUUCCAUAUGAAUAUUUCGAUUGCCGAUUGUAGGGCUUUGAAAUCCGGUUUGUGGAGUGGUAUUAGAAGGGUCUGCAAGAGGUAUAGGAAUCUAGGGAGGAGGUUCAUUUUAAUGGAGGCAAUGCGUCCCAGCCAUGAUAUUCCAAAGGGUUUACAUUUGGUCAGGUCUUCGUGUGCUUUUAGUAAAAGUGGGGUAUAGUUCUUGGCAUAUAAAUAUGAGAUGGCUGCGGGAAGCUGAAUCCCCAGGUAUGUUAUUGACGUAUGGCGUAUCUGCAGCGGGAAUGUUUGUUGUAUUCUGGCUAGGCUUUGAGGGUCUAUCUGUAUAGGGAGUAGUUCGGAUUUAGUUAGGUUGAGUUUGUAUCCUGCAAUUUCUGAGUAUUCUUGUACUAUGGCUAGAAAGGGACAUAGUGAUCGUUCUGGGUUGGUCAGGGUCAGUAAAAUGUCAUCGGCAUAUGCCGAGAUCUUGAAUGACUCCCCCCGUACUGUGAUCCCUUCUACCUCUGUGCUGGAGCUCACUGCCUGGAGCAGAGGCUCCAGGGAGAGGGCAAAUAGUAUGGGUGAUAAGGGGCAUCCCUGGCGCGUGCCAUUGGUGAUGGGGAAUCGUGGGGAUGGUAUGUUGGGCAGCAGGAGUGCCCCUUGGUACUUUUAUUUUUACAAUAUCUACUACAUGUUUUUAUUUGUUAUCAAUACAUUUUAAUUUUAUUUUUAUACGCUAUUCCAAUCAAGUCCUUAAAGCCUCAAAGAAUCUUCAGUAGGGAAGUGCCAUCCCCAGAAAAGUGGCACUCUGCUAUUUACCCUCAGAGCCAGGCAUUAAAGGCUCUGAAAAAGGUGAGUGUAAUACUUACCAACAGGAGAUUUAUCUGAAAUCACACAUUGGUCGCUCCUCUCUUUUUCUGUAUUUCUUUUGGAGGAAAUGUCAUAGAGUGAGUGGUGUGUUGCUGCCCUAUAAGCAAAGCAGUCCUUUUUACAGAGCCAAUAUUAUAUAGGCUCCAUACCAUGUGAGUGGUUCUAGUUAUUUAUCUACUAAUUCCUCAAGGGGGCCCAGAACUUCUGACCUCGGAGUCUGCCACCACUCCCACGUCCAUUUGAUUAUAUCAUUGUGGACUCAAUUCCUCCAGAGCCUCUCCUACACGCAACCAGACAGCAUGGCGGUCCGCCCCUGCCCCCCCCACUCACUGCUUUUACUCUGUGCCCCCACUCAUUUACCUACAUUACAGAUCCCCCACUCACUCCUCCUGCCCUACACUGCAGACCCCCCACUCGCUCCUUCGGCCCUACAUUGCAGAGCCCCCACUCACUCCUUCUGCCCUACAUUGCAGACCCCCCACUAACGCCUUCUGCCCUACAAUGGAGAGCCACCGCUCUGUGCCGCCCCACGCUCUGCUUUUGCCUUGUGUCCCCUCCAACUCACUGCUUCUGCCCUGCGGCAAACAUAAAAAUUGUCAGAGUAUGUAUGCCAGUGUGUGUAUCUAUGUGUAUCUGAGUGUUUAUGUGCCAGUGUGUGUAUCUGUGUGUCAAGGUAUGUGCAUGUGUCUAUGUUUAUAUGUGUGUUGAUGUGUAUCUGUGUAUGUGUAUACAUCCCAGCAAUCAAAAACAACAUGCAAACAUAUCCCUGAACACACAAACAUUACAAACAAACAUGCCCCUGAUUUCAAACUCAGAAAUUAUAUAUAAAACACACCCCUUACUCAAACACCAAUACUACACACAAAUGUUUAGAAGACAACACUACAUCCAAUCACAACCCUGAAGGCAAAUUUAACAUACAAACAAGACCCAGUAUUAAAAUGCCAAAUUUAUAUGCAAACACCAACUCUACUCACAAUUGCACAGCUGCAUUUAAAAGCCAACCAUACAUACAAACACACACCACUGCAUUCAAACGCAACACUACACACAAGUACACCUCUGCAUUCCAAUGGUAACAGUACAUACAAAUACACCUACAUGCACACAUAUACUCUACGCAAAAACAGGCUUACGUUCAGAUGCACAAACACUGCACACAAAUACAACCCUGCAAGGAUGGGCAAAUCAUAGAUCCCCAGCUGGCAUAGCGUUGUGGGAGUUGUCUGACAGAUGGGGAUCUAUCUUUUGGCCAUUUUUGUGCUAGAGGGGGAGGCCCAAACAACUUUCUUGCACCAGGGCUUCUCUACGUUAGUUCUGCCACUGGGUUGGAGUGUAGGGCAUGAUUGCAUGCCAGGGAGUGGGAGGACAGCAGGGUCCAGGGGGCCCAAGCAAAUGCUUGCCCAGGGUCCAAUCAGUAUUAAAAACGGCCCUGUUGUCUGGCAUUACUGUUUUCUCCUCAAUGUCGGCCUUACCAUUUUCAGAUCCCCUUUGCAUCUUUUGCUUUCACUUUGAAUUUUGUUGUCUUCAUUGUGGCAUUCUGGCCUAAAUCUCCUUUCUAUAAAAUAUUAUAUAUAUUACAUUUUCUUUUAUGUCGUCUCCAUGCAGAUUGCUAUUAUCAUUCCACAGUGUAGUGUUGGAAGCAGGGAUUAAUAGUCCACUGGGCCUGGUCUGAAAAUUAUGAUGGGCCUAAUUACAGGAUCAUAUUGACAGAAGAUAGAAAACAGUAAAACGGUGAUAAAGUCCAAGCAUCAUGUAUCUGGUAUAGGUGGUGCCGGAGAGAAACUCACAGGAUGCAGUUAUUAGAAGACACAUACCCUAUGUUAAUUUCUCAGCAAAUCCAUGCCGCUUAACAGCGGCAUCCAAUGAAACAGGACAUCAGUCAACUGGGUAAAAGGGUGGGCCAUUGAGGCGAGUCACGUAACUGGUACUGCCAAAAGGGUCGGACAUGCUCAGAAAGGGGUGGGUCUGCCCAAAGAAUUGGAAGGUAGAGGGGCGGAGCCUGACAGUCAAAGCGGACAGUCGCAUGUUUAUGGAGCUCCAGUCCACGGAGGCAAUAAUUACCCAGUUUUCGGCAUCCAGGCCAGCCUUAUUGUGUCCGGAAGAACUCCCCAGCGUGCAUAAGCCCCAUGGGGAAGAAGACGAAAAAACUACGUCAGGAGACACCCGCCUGGGCAUGAAUAUUGGGAAUCUGUGGUGGCAGGCUCAUGGCACUCACGAGCCCCAGAUGGCAGCCAUCACUGGGGACUGCUCAGACCUCUCAGAUGAUCUCUCCUGUGGAUCAGAGGAGGGCUAUAUACCUGCCCAGGCGCCUCCACCACCGACCCCUCUAACGAAGCCAGACUCGGCUCCGGUGACUACUACAAUCUUAAAAGAGCUUCUAGUUGACCUGCAUGGCCACAAUACGCCAGGACCUGCAGGGCUUCACAGGCCACAUUGGAGCACUGGAAACUAACUCACACUUCUGCACACAGCAGAUCUCAACUCUUCAACAAGAGGUUAGAGACUUGCAAAAUUACUCCUAUGAAUGGCGCUUUGCUGCACAAGAUGACUCCUGCCGCCGGAGCAAUCUUAAAGUCAGGGGAAUCCCUAAAAAUAUACCUGGAGCAGAGUUCCUACAUGUGGUGAGACGGCUGCUGACAGCUUUACUGAUGCCCAAACAGGCCAAAGCAGUAGUGAUCGAAGGCAUAUUCCGGGUGCCCUAAUCACCAAAAGCACCACCGAGAACACCAAGGGACCUGAAACUCCAAUUCCAAAAUGGAAAAGACAAGGCAGCAGUCCUGAAUGCUCUGAGGGGCAAGUCACCUUACACCUUCGAAGAUAUGUCACUGACAUUCUAUGCAGACCUAUGCGGCUGCACUGUGGCAUUGCGCCGAGAACUACAACCACUCACCUCCCUUCUACAACAGCACAAAAUACCCUACCGAUGGCGCCACUCCCGAUCACUGUCAAUCCUCCACGGGGAUUCAACCCACAUCAUUCGAGACCUCCAGGAAGCCACAGUGAUCCUACAGCGCUUGGAAAUCCCCCAACUCUCCCUCAGCAUUGAUGCCCCAAGUGCAGCGCCUCAACCGACUAACAGAUGGAACCUAGGGACUGCGGUGGAAUUUGUACCCAGGCUGCCCACUCCGGGCUCUCGUGUCAAAGCCACAACCUGACCUCAAACAGGACUGCCUCUUACAGGCCCAGUUCGGGACUCACUCAAUUAAGCGGCCUUUUCCCCAGUGCACAACAUCCCACAUCUUUACCCUCACACAGAGCAGGAUAAUUGCCUCCACCCUUCUCAGAUCGAAUAGCUACUGCCUCCAUUGCCCCCCCCACUUUUUUUGCCUAUGGGUUAAUUAGGCUAGGAAUGUGUAAGCUGCACACCUGAAAAUGCUAAAAGAGAAGCGCACAUGUUCCACCAACAAGCUCCGAUUACUAGUUAUGGCCCAUCUUACUCUCACACCUCUAUGGCAGUGUCACCCUCUCUAUAAAUACCACCAAGCCGGCCACCACCUAGCACUUGGCUAUACACAAAACCCCACAGCCGGACAAAGGUGCAGCAGUCUUCAGGCUUCUGUCCCUACUUGUUAACCUAACUAGGCUGGUCCAGGGAUUGACGGUCACUAGAAGACAUCAUGCUAGCCAGGGGUGAUACUUUCCACAGAUAUACUCACACUGGUUUGGGGAUUUUCCUCAUCGAUAUUUUCAAGCUGUCUAAUAACUUCUACCCAGACAGGAAGUUCAGCAUAUUAAGCAGAUCGAAAAGUUUACCUACUUAGAAAUAUCCAUUCAUUCACUAAGUGCCUGCUACACGUCUAUUAUCAUAAUAAAAAAAAUCCUCUAACAUAAUAAAAAUAUAUCAGAUUAAAAGUGAAUAAAACAAUUAGAGUAAUAACACUAACAUGCUUCACCUGUGGCAUGGCUUUUUCAAAGUGUUACAGGUACCUGGACAUUAUUAUUAUUAUUCCCGCCAUUUAUAUAGCGCCAACAGAUUCCGUAGUGCUUUACAAUAUUAUUAGAGGGGGGAUUUAACUAUAACUAGGACAAUUACAAGAAAUCUUACAGAACGAUAGGUUGAAGAGGGCCAUGCUAAAAACAAGCUUACAGUCUAUAGGAGGUGGGGUAUAAAACACAUUAGGACAGGAAAUAGCAAUCAAAUAAGGUGGGAGUGAAGCAGAGCUGGAGGAGAGAGUAGAGUGUUCCCCUUUAAGAAAGAGCAAGAGGCAGAUAUGUGAGGUAGAGGUUAGUCUGGGAGGUCAUUUCCUAAAGAGAUGGGUUUAAGGCAAUUCUUAAAUGAUUGAAGACUAGGGGAGAGUCUGAUGGCAGUAGGCAGGCUAUUCCAUAGGAAGGGAGACCCCCCGCGCAAAGUCCUGCAAGCGCGAGUUGGCCGUAUUGGUGCGAGCAGCGGACAGGAGAAGGUCACGGGAAUUAGACCGAGAAGGGGCAUACAUAUGGAUCUGUGAUGAAAUAUAAGAGGGACUAGAAUUGUUUAGUGCUUUAUGGGUAUGGGUUAGCACUUUGAAUUGACUCCUAUAGGAUACAGGAUGCCAAUUUAAGGACUGACAGAGGGGGUGAGGUGUGAGAGGACCGACUAGAGAGGAAAAUCAGUCUGGCGGCAGCAUUCAUUACAGACUGUAGAAGGACAAUAUGGCUUUUGGGAAGACCAAUCAGGAGAGGGAGAGGGUUACAAUAAUCCAUGCGGACAAUUACUAGAGCAUGGACAAGCUCCUUGGUAGCAUCUUGUGUAAGAACGGGGUGGAUGUCGGCUAUGUUCUUAAGAUGGAAUCUACAGGAUUUGGGAACAUACUGGAUGUGAGGCUCAAAGGUGAGGCUAGAGUCAAGUAUGACGCAAGGACAGCGCGCUUGCAAGGAAGGACUUAAAUAGAUACCACUAACUAGAAGGGAGAGCGAAAGGGGAGGAUCAGUAUUAGGAGGAGGAAAGACAAGGAGCUCUUUUUUAGAGAGAUUGAGUUUCAGAAAGCGGGAGGACAUCCAGUCAGAGAUGGAAGAUAGGCAAGCAGUGACACGUUGCAGGAUGGCAGGAGAGAGGUCCGGGGAGGAGAGAUAUAUCUCGGUGUCAGCAGCGUGCAGGUGGUAGUGGAAUCCAAAAGAGGUAAUACGUUUGCCAAGAGAGGCAGUAUAAAGAGAAAAUAAAAAGGGACCAAGGACAGAGCCUUGGGGGACUCCAACUGAGACAGUGUCAGUAUAUUUAUAUCGGCAGAUAUUUUGUGCUAAGAUAGAAAUUAAAAGUGUAUAUUGCCAGAGUCACUCAGAACAGAGCUGACUCCAUUUUGUAUUUAUAAGAACAAAAAAAAACACAGCAUUUCUUUCUAUCUGUAACUCUAUUCAUUCAAGCCUGAGCUAAGGAAUGCAUUAUGUAAACAAGGCAAUGAUGACUCACAAGAAGGGGGAUGGGGGAAUAGAAAUAAUUUUAAACACAGACACAAGAACCAGAUAACAUUACAGAUAAUACUUUGUAAUUAAUUUUACUUUCUAAAUCUUACAAAGCCCCAUUGUAAGCAAGAGGUGAAAUUAAGGUUUAGACAUGUCAGAAGUAGAUUUAGUAGUGGGGAAAGUGAUGGAAACCAUGUUAAAGGAUAGGAUUGAUGAACAUCUAAAAACACAUGGAUUUCAAGAUCAGAGACAACAUGGGUUUACUUCAGGGAGAUCAUGCCAAACUAAUCUUAUUGAUUUUUUUUUGAUUGGGUAACUAAAACUAUAGAUCAGGGUGGUGCAGUAGACAUUGCUUACCUAGAUUUCAGUAAGGCUUUUGACACUGUUGCACAUAGAAGGCUUAUCAAUAAACUGCAAUCUUUAAGUUUGGAUUCAAAUAUUGUUGAAUGGGUAAGGCAGUGGCUGAGUGACAGGCAACAGAGGGUUGUAGUUAAUGGAAUAUAUUCGAAGCUUGGACUUGUCACCAGUGGGGUACCUCAGGGAUCUGUACUUGGACCCAUUCUCUUUAAUAUUUUUAUUAGUGAUAUUGCAGAAGGUCUUGAUGGUAAGGUAUGUCUUUUUGAUGAUGAUACUAAGAUAUGUAACAGGGUUGAUGUUCCAGGAGGGAUAAGCCAAAUGGCAAAUGAUUUAGGUAAACUAGAAAAAUGGUCAGAAUUGUGGCAACUGACAUUUAAUGUGGAUAAGUGCAAGAUAAUGCAUCUUGGACGUAAAAACCCAAGGGCAGAGUACAGAAUAUUUGAUAGAGUUCUAACCUCAACAUAUGAGGAAAGGGAUUUAGGGGUGAUUAUUUCUGAUGACUUAAAGGUAGGCAGACGAUGUAAUAGAGCAGCAGGAAAUGCUAGCAGAAUGCUUGGUUGUAUAGGGAGAGGAAUUAGCAGUAGAAAGAGGGAAGUGCUCAUGCCAUUGUACAGAACACCGGUGAGACCUCACUUGGAGUAUUGUACACAGUACUGGAGACCGUAUCUUCAGAAGGAUACUGAUACCUUAGAGAGGGUUCAGAGAAGGGCUACUAAACUGGUUCAUGGAUUGCGGAAUCAAACUUACCAGGAAAGGUUAAAGGAUCUUAACAUGUACAGCUUGGAGGAAAGACGAGACGGGGGGAUAUGAUAGAAACAUUUAAAUAUAUAAAGGGAAUCAACACAGUAAAGGAGGAGACUAUAUUUAAAAAGAAGAAAAACUACCACAACAAGAGGACAUAGUCUUAAAUUAGAGGGACAAAGGUUUAAAAAUAAUAUCAGGAAGUAUUACUUUACUGAGAGGGUAGUGGAUGCAUGAAUAGCCUUCCAGCUGAAGUGGUAGAGGUUAACACAGUAAAGGAGUUUAAGCAUGCGUGGGAUAGGCAUAAGGCUAUCCCAACUAUAAGAUAAGGCCAGGAACUAAUGAAAGUAUUUAGAAAAUUGGGCAGACUAGAUGGGCCGAAUGGUUCUUAUCUGCCGUCACAUUCUAUGUUUCUAUGUUUCUAUAUGCCCGACACGAAGUCUGGGUAAGAGAGUGAAUAAGGAGGUCUAAAUCAUCAUAAUUUUCAGUUAACCCAUUCCAGGACAAGAAAUUUUGGUGAUAUGAUUGCGCCAUCUACUGACCAAAAUCUAGAUGAUAGUCUGUAAGGUAGACACACCUACAGUUCCCUAUUCAUCCGAUCAACUAAUGACGUGCAGAGAGUUUUGCCCUUUAGAAAGGAAGGACAAAGGAUAUUGAGGGAUUCAGACAUUCAACUUUGGGACUGACACUCAAUUUGGACAUUCAGACAUUCAAAAUCUGACAUUUAAAGACUCAUACUCUUUGACCACAUUCAAACUCUCUUUGACACAACUCAAGAAACACUUUCCUGGACACUUAAAAUUUUACCAUUACUUUCUAACCAACACCACUUUUCUAUUACAUACAAUCCUAUAUACAUCAAUCAUACUUGCAUUCAAGUUCCUGGGACUAUCUACUCAUCUGAUAAGAACAUCUACAACAUAACUGGUAAUUAUGCUGGUUUUAUUUAAUUAAUUUAAAUUAAUUUAAAUUUUUCUAAUAGCAGGAAUAUAUCUGGAUAAAUCUUGUCAGAUUUCAAUCAUUAGAAAUCUUAGUUAACUAAAGAAUAUAUGGUUAUAAAAAUUCCAUUCCUGCAGGUGGAAUAAAGAUAACAGUAUAUUAAAGGUAAUAUUUACCAACAGAUUAGCAUGACACAUUUAUCCAGAAAUAUUGACUUAUUCUGAUAUAAGAUAGAGAAUCUUAUGUAGGAAAGUUAAAAUUCGGCUAGUGUAAAAUCUGGUGGAUUUAUCCUUAUUGGAUGGUUCCAGGAAUGGUUAAUGAUCUGGUAUGAACAUUGCUUUAAUUGAAAAAUUGCAACAGAAUAGGAUAUUAUAUGCCUAGGAGGAUUGCAGCCAGCAUUGAAAGGGUUACUCAGUUGAUCUAACUAUUAGCCAAGGUUUUAUUGCUUCUCACUGCACUGUGAAGUUUUGCUUUCUGUGUCUGUGAAGACUUUUUAACUAUCAUAAAUCUCUUGACAGCUGAUUGCUUGUAGCCGCUGUAUUGUGUUUAAACCAUUGCCAUUUUGUAUGCCUAUGUUAUACUAAAUAUUCACUGAUUGUCACGCAUGUUACAUAUUAUUAUUGUUACAAUAAACUAUAUUUUUAUAAAGAAAUUGUGAUUUACAGUGUGAAGUAAAAUCCUCAGAUGAACGUUCUCUAGGAUCUAAAAGAAUUAAUAUAGGGUAAUUCUCAAUAUCAAGUUUGAUAUAAUAAAAAUUAUUAAAUUAAUUUUUGAUAAUUUUUAUGAAAAUAUUUUAAUAUUUUUACCCCAUAAAUAUCCCCACAACAGGACAAGGGGAGGAGGUGUCAUUAGAAAAGGAGAUGCUGAAUGAGCGUUGGGAGAGAUAAGAGGAAAACCACAAGAGGACAUAGUCACAGAGACCGAGUGAUCGAAGAGUUUGAAGAAGGAGAGCAUGAUCAACUGUGUCAAAGGUCAAAGAAAAAUUAGUAUGGAGUAGUGGCCUUUGGAUUUAGCAGACAUUAGGUCAUUAGUAACUUUGAUAAGAGCAGUCUCAGUAGAGUGGAGAGGGCGGAAGCCAGAUUGAAGAGGGUCAAGGAGAGAGUUGGAAUUGAGGAAGUGAGACACGGGCAAAGACAAGUCUUUCCAGAAGUUUUGAGGAAAAAGGGAGCAGGGAUAUGGGACGAUAGAGGGGGAGGACGGGUCAAGAGAUGUUUUUUUCAGGAUAGGUACUACAGUGGCAUGUUUAAGGUCAGCAGGAACAACGCCAGAAGAGAGAGAGCAGUUGAAGAUGUGUGUUGAGGAAGGCACAAGACAAGGGAAGAGAGAUCUGAUAAGGUGAGAUGGGACAGGUUCGAGCGGGCAAGUGGUGGGGCAAAAGGAAAAGAGAAGCGUAGCCACCUCUUGUUCAGUACCCGGGGAGAAAGUCUGAAGGGUAGGAAAGGCAUGAUCAACGUGUGGUUGAGAAAGAGAAUGGCAAGGUGGAGAGAAUUCUUUACUUAGCUGGUCAAUCUUGUUGGUAAAGUAGUAUGCAAAGCUAUCAGCUGUAAGGUUAGUUUGAGGGGUGGCCACAGCAGGGCGAAGAAGAGAGUUAAAGGUGUCAAAGAAAUGCCUGGGAUUGUGGGAGCAUGAAAUAAUGUGAGAGGAAAAGUAUAACUGUUUGUCGAGGGCAAGGGCUGCGCUGUAUGAACACAAUAUGAAUCUAUAAUGGAGAAAGUCUGACUGGGUGCGAGACUUUCUCCAGGGGCAUUCAGCACAACGGGAGCAACUUUGCAAUGAGCGUGUUGAUUUAGUAUGCCACGGUUGUGGGGGUGUCCUCCACGAGGUGCAUGUUUGGAGCGGGGCUGCAGCAUUUUUGGCAGAGGUUGGGUAGUGUUAUAUGUGGAGAUGGCCAGUGAGGGACAGGAGAGGGAAGGGAUGCAUAGCAGUUGUGAAUCAAUAUCAGCUGACAGCUUCUGGAGGUCAAUAGAAUUAAGGUUCCUCCUGAAUUGAGGGGGGUUAGGCUGAGGUUGUUGGGUGAGGGAGUACUCGAGAGCAAACGAUAAGAGGUGGUGAUCAGAGAGAGGAAAUGCAGUGUUGCACAUAUUAGAUACUGUACAUGCAUAAGAGAAAAUUAGGUUGUGGGUAUUACCAGCUACAUGGGUGGGAGAAUUAACCCACUGCGAUAGCCCGAUUGAGGAAGUAAUUGAAAGUAGUUUAGGAGGCUGUAGAUGUCAAAGGUGGGAAUAUUAAUGGGAAUAUUGAAGUCUCCAAGAAUUAGGGAUGGAAUAAAGAAGAGAAGAAGUAGGGCAGCCAGGCAGCAAAGUGGUCAAGGAAGAGGUGAGGGGGAACCAGGGGGAUGAUAAAUAACCAAAGGAUAGUGAGACAGGGGUAGCAGUAUCAGAGGGAGAGAGCCAUGUUUCCGUUAGUGCAAGUAAGUUUAGGGAGUGUGAGAUAAAUAGGUCAUGGAUGGAUGUUGAUUUAACAGUGCUGCACAAAGAGUGUGCAUUCCAGAGGGCAGCUUAAAAAGAGAAAUUAUAGUGAGUGUUACAUGGAAUGGAUAUGAGAUUGUUGUGGUUUCUGGUGUUAGCACCAGGUGGCUUAGUAGAGGAUGGACCAGGGUUUGGAGAGACAUCACCAGCUGCCAGGAGCAGUAGGCUGGAAAGGAAGAAAGGAAGGUGGGAUGUUUGGGAUGAGAGCUUGUAUUUAGGGGAUGUAGGAGGGGAUUGUGGAGAAAGGCUGGAUAAAUAUAAGUAAAGUGCAUGUGAUGAAUACAGAGAUGAGGGAAGUAGAGAGGGAGCAAUGAAGAUGGUGUCAGCAGGAACAGGUAAGUAAAAGGAUAGAGAGAUUUUAAUAAUAAGGGAAGUGAGAGAGAAAGUGAAAAAUAGAAGGCAGAACAUUAUUAGCAGAACAGGUGCUGCAUAUUUUAAGAUAUGGAGAAGUGAGCUGUAAAGAUUGUAGGUGAGGUUGUGAGGGUUAAGGGUUAAAAAGUUAUUCAUUGUGUGAAUUAAGCUAUUUUAGGUGUGGAGGGCUUGGUGGACAUGAUUGAUUGUUAUGUUAAUUAAUAUAAUUAAAGGACUACUAUAAGCACCCAGACGACUUCAGCUCAAUGAAGUGGUCUGGGUGCCAGGUCCAUCUAGUGUUAACCCUGCAGCUGUAAACAUAGCAGUUUCAGAGAAACUGCUAUGUUUCACUGAGGGUUAAUCCAGCCUAUAGUGGCUGUCUCACUGACAGCCACUAGAGGCCGCUUCUGCGAUUGUCACUGUGAAAAUCACAGUGAGAAGACGCUGGACGUCCAUAGGAAAGCAUUAAGUAAUGCUUUCCUAUGGGCGGCUUGAAUGUGUGCGCGACUCUUGCCGCGCAUGCGCAUUCUGUGCUGACGUCUGCAGAGGGAGGAGAGUUCCCCAGCGCUGGAGAAGGGUAAGUGUUUUAACCCCUUCAGCCCAGUGGUUCUUUAAGUGUUUAGGAACGCUGUGCAAAUCACAUGCAAGGAGAUGUGACUGCAGGUUAUAUAAACAAAGUGAUUUAACUCCUAAAUGGCAGAGGAUUGAGCAGUGAGGCUGAAGGGGCAUGAUCUAUACAUCAAAACUGCUUCAUUAAGCUAAAGUUGUUUUAGUGCCUUUAAAUAAAGACACACAUUCUCUAAAUGCAUAUUUGCAGAUAUUUUCUACAUGGCACCUCAAAUCAAUAGUUCUUUCCAAACAAGUUUUAUUUUCUUAUUCCUAAUGCUCCUUAACCAUCAUCCAAGUGCCUCUUCUUGGUUAGCUAAUAAUUACCUGUCUUGGCAAUUCGAUUUGAAACUGUUGCAAAAAAUAUGCUGAACUAAAAAAAUAAAAAUAAAAAAAAUGAUCAUGAUUCAUUUAUUGUGUAAUAGAUCAUAUACACAUGAUUAAAGCAGUUAUCUCUUACCACAGGUACACAUACUACAGAGUUCAACACAUGACAUUCUCCCCAAACUGAAGACUGAGUAUGCUGUAGAGAACUUUGACUUUGUCUUUAUUGAUCACUAUGGGGACAGAUAUAAACCAGACACUGUGCUUCUGGAGGUGCGUAUUGUCUAUGGUUAAACAUGAGCAUUGCAUGUAUAUAUAUAUAUAUAUAUACACAGUAUCUUACAAAAGUGAGUACACCCCUCACAUUUUUGUAAAUAUUUUAUUAUAUAUUUUCAUUUGACAACACUGAAGAAGUGACACUCUGCUACAAUGUAAAGUAGUAAGUGUACAGUCUUUAUAACAGUGUAAAUUUGUUGUCCCCUCAAAAAAACUCAACACACAGCCAUUAAUGUCUAAACCGUUGGCAACAAAAGUGGAAAUGUCCAAAUUGGGCCCAAUUAGCCAUUUUCUUUUUUUUUUGUAAAUAAAGUUUUUAUUAGCAGUUCAGAUAAUAACAGAUAGCAGAGCUUAUAUUGUCAGUGAGACUCGCAGGUCUCCAAUUGCGUCUGACAUGAGUACCACCAGUUUUAGGUGGGUCUUUAUAUAGCAUUAUUGGAAGCGGAGGGCUGCCGGCCCACACCAGUAAGGGCAAAACGAUUCUAUAGUUGAUCCCCAAUCAAAUGGUAAGUAGUGCGGGAGGUCCCAGGUCACGUCCUCUAACGUGGGGAGUGAGAAAGGGGUUGUUUUGCGGGAUCGGGUCCUAUAGUCUUGCACCUGGUCUGGAACUCCCUUUCCUGUCUGUCUUUUCCCUAACUUCAGCGGUGCCUAGGUAUGUUGUGGGUUCUCUCCUGGGUCAUCUACCCUCUCGUUCUGAGUCCGCGUCCCCUCCCCCCUCCAUCACGACGGGAGGGGGGGGGAGCGCCCAGCGGUGUGUUUAGUUGCUUCUGUCAUUUUGCUUCCUUGUGGGCAGUAAUAUUUGUCGUGCUCCAGUCGCUGUCCACGUAUGGUAUCUGUGGUGUAUCUGGAGUGUUUUCCCCCCUUGGAUGGGGGUGGUGUGAUGUCUCAAUGCUUAGUUGUGUCAGUCAUCUAGUGUUGACUUAUGUUUGCUGUUUAUUGUAGGAGUUUUCCACGUUGUGGGAACCCCCCGAGUUUAUUGAGCGAUGUCUCGCUGGGCCCACGUCCCAUGGGGAAAUCGUGGUGCCUUCUCGGGCUCAGAUAUUUUGUGGCCAUGUUGCGCCAGGCGGUCCCCGACCUCGCCCGGGGAAAGAAAAAGGAGAGAGGGGGGGAGAGAUAGGGAUGGGUGGGAGUGUGUGAUGGUGGGAGAGCUGGGAGGUAUGGGGCAUAGCUAUGUUGUGGCAUGGGUCUAUCUUGACUCCUGAGUUAGUCGGUCAGGGCAGGUCCGGGUGAGGUGGGGGGGGAGAGAGAAGUUGUGUUAAGAUGCGCGUGUUGGUCCAGCUGGCUAGGAUCCGAGUGGUGUCCCAUCCCCUGUCCUUGUUUGUGACGUGUAUAGGUACCAUGGUGUCCACAUUUCAAGAUGUUUGUCCCUCCUCCCAAGUAUCUCAGCGUAUCUCGCCUCAGCUGUGUGGAUCUCUUCUAUUCUCUGCAGCCAUUCCGUUUUGGAAGGUGGCUGGGUUUGCUUCCAUCUCGCUGGGAUCAGUGCUUUGGCCGCAUUAAGCAGGUGUCGUAGGAUUGAGCGUUUGUAUUGUGCCAGCUGUCCUGUGGAGAAGUUUAGGAGUGCGGCCUCUAUGCUAAAGUCUGGUGGGUCACCCAGAAUUGUAAUGAUUUCCCAGUUUACCUCUUCCCAGAAUGGCUUGAUCCCAGGGCAAUCCCACCAAAUGUGGCGUAGUGUGUCUGGCUGCGCUUCGCAUCUCCAGCAUGUAUCUGGGACCCCUGGGAAUAUCCUGUGCAGUUUUGCUGGUGUUCUUUACCACUGGGAGAUCAGCUUGUAGUUCACCUCUUGGUACCUGGUGCUCAUGGAGCUUUUGUGUUGUAAUAUGAGAAUUUGUGCCCAUAGGGCGUCUGUGAAGGUUCUGUCUGUCAAUUCCUCCCACUGCCUCUGGAAGGCGUUGUUUCUGGAGAGUUCCCCUGUGAGCAGUUGUUGAUAUAUGCCCGAUACUCUGCCAUCUGCCUCUGGAUAGCUCUCGCAGAGGUGUUCAAACCAGGUCCAUUCUCUGUGUACUGCUCCCCUAUUGGGCAGGUUGUGGUAGAAGUGCCUCAGCUGUGCGUAAUGGAAACGGUGCAUUAUUGUCAGACGAUCUGUGUCCGCCCAGUCUUGAAGGCUGAGCAGGCUGGCGUUUGUCAGGGCCGAACUCAGGGGUACAUAUCCCUCUGCUCUGUGUAUUGGCCACGCGUUCGCGUGCAGUCCCCCUCCUAUGGUUUCGUUAUAUGUUAGGGGGAUCAUGGGGCUUGGCUGUGGCGAGAUGUGUGCUUCCCUUCGCAGGGUGGUCCAGGUUUUCAGCGUCUGCGUCACUGGGGAUUCCGUACCCAGAGCUUGUGUAGCCCCUGUCGGGCGGUGCCAGAUGUAUGUGUGGAGUGCUCUGUUUGUGCUUUCCCUGUCCAGCCUCGUCCAUAGUUUGUUGGUGGGGGCCGUGUGCCAUUCUCAAAUCCUCUGGAGCACUGUCGCGUGGAAGUAUCUCCGAAAGUCCGGCAGGGCCAGGCCUCCCCAUGGUUUUGGCAAGCAUAGUCUGUCGUGUUUAAGCCGUGGCCUCCCCUCCUUCCAGACAUAUCUCGUUACCGCUGUUUUGAGCUUGGUAAAGAAGUCCUGUGGCAGUAGAGGAGGCGGGGGAGGAUGUUCAUUUUGACCACCGCUAUUCGGCCUUGCCAAGAGAUGUGAUCAUACGACCAUCUCGUCAGGUCUGUCAGUACGUUGCGAAGGAGGGGUGUAUAGUUCCUAUCGUAUGUCUCGCCCGGGUCACGGCAGAGCCAAAAACCUAGGUAGCGCAUCUGCUCCUUGCACCAGUGGAAAGGGAAUUUGCGUUGGAGUCUCUCCUGUGUGUUCCUCGCGGUGUGUAUUGCCAGAAUUUCGCAUUUUGCUAGAUUUAGCUUAAGCCCUGAUAUCUGCCCAUAUUGCUCAAACUCCCGUAGGAGGGCCGGCAGUGUGCCCUGAGGUUCCGUGACGAAAAAGAGCAUAUCAUCCGCGUAUGCUGCCACCUUAUGUGUCUGAUCUUUCUGUCUGAAUCCCUGGAUCUCUGGUGUCCUUCUGAUCUUGUCUAGAAACGGCUCUAACGAGAGGGCGAAGAGGAGGGGGGACAGCGGGCAUCCCUGUCUGGUUCCGUUGUUGAUGUCAAAGUUGUCUGUAAGUGCUCCGUUUACCCGUACUCUGGCAGUUGGGUCGGUGUAGAGUGCCGUUAUCCAGGUGAGUAUGCCGUUCCCCAGACCCAUCGCCACCAGCGCUGCCGUCAUGAAGCUCCACCUUACCCGAUCGAACGCCUUUUCUGCGUCCGUGGAGAGCAUAAGGAAGUCCGAGGUUCCCCUACGCGCCAUGCUUUGUAUGGUGAACGCCCGCAGGGUGCUAUCCCUGGCCUCUCUGCCCGGGAUGAACCCCGUCUGGUCUGGGUGGACUAGCCUUGGCAGGAAUUGUUGCAGUCGCGUAGCUGGGAAUCACUGUGAUUAUGGCUGCUAGGAAUUCUCGGUGAAAUUUACCUCCGUCUCGGAGGUGGUUGCAGGCGUUGGCGAUGCGUGGGGCUAGGAUGUAUCUGAACUUUUUAUAAUAGCCCGCCGAGAACCCGUCCGGGCCCGGUGCCUUCCCAUUCUUUGUGGUUUUUAUCACUGCCAGUAUCUCUUCUGUAGAUAUCGGGGCGUCUAGGGCGUCUGCUUCCUGCUGGGAUAGGGCUUCAGGGUUGAAGUCUCUGAGGUAGCGUGCGAUGUCUCCUGCGGUUCUGGUCUCAUCUGCGUCCGGGGUUUCGGGCGGUAUGUUGUAUAAGUCUUCAUAGUACGAGCGGAAUUCGUUUGCGAUCUCCUCAGGGAAUUGCGUAGUGGUGCCCCUGGCUGUUCGCAGUGCGCUCACCUGUGCGCUUGUUUGUUGGUUCCGCAACAUGCGGGCUAGUAGCUUUCCUCCCUUGUUGGCAUGAAUGUAGAAGAAGGCCUUUGAUCUCUGGAUUGACCUGUGGUGUUUGCGGGCUAUCAGGUCUGACAAUUGCCGUCUGAGGGUCAGAAGGGUGCGGUAAUGCUCCUCUUGUCGGGUCCUCUUGUGCAGCGUUUCCAGCGUUGCUAUCUGUUCCGCGAGUGCCGUCAUUUGUCGUUGUGCUUCUCUCUUUUUCUGCGCUGAUAUCCGGAUAAGUAGCCCCCUGAGGACGCUUUUGUGGGCCUCCCACAGGGUCAGUGCGGAGGUAUCUUCGGUGUCGUUUUCAGUGAAGUAGUUAUUCAGUUGUUCCACUAGUUGUACCUGCGUCGGUACGUCGGAGAGGAGUAGUUCAUUUAAGCGCCAUACGGUCCGGGUAGGUCAGUAUAGGGGUGAUUCCAUGCACAUGUAUACUGCGCUAUGGUCCGACCAUGGAGUGGGGCGGAUGUCUGCCUCCAGUAGUCUUUGCAGUCCUUCUUGUUGGAUAAAGAGGUAGUCUAUCCUAGCGUGCCUAUUGUGCAUGGCCGAGUAAUGCGUGUAAUCUCGGUCUCCUGGGUGUAAGAUACACCAUGUGUCCACCAAUCACAGGUCGUGUAGAGUCCUUCGGAUCGUCCGAAUGGCUGUUUGUGGGAUGCUGCUAUGUCCUGUUGAGGAAUCCAGGAUCGGUUCUAGAGGGGUGUUGAAGUCCCCUCCCACCACGAGGGCACCUUCCGUGAAGUUGGCGAGCUUGAGUAGUGUGUUGCGGAGGAAUUUCGCUUGUUUGGUAUUUGGGGCGUAGAUUGAAGCAAACGUAUAUGUCUUCUGGGCUACCGUCCCCUUCACGAACAAGUAUCUGCCAUUCGGAUCGGCCAGUGUGUCGCUUCGGUGGAAGUGAAGGUUGGAGGCCAGGAGAAUCGCCACUCCCGCCUUGCGUGCUGUUGGGUGGGUGCUAUGGAAACUGUCUGGGAAGCGUCUAUCCGUCAAUCGAUGCGUUUCGGCCGCUCUCAGGUGUGUUUCUUGCAGCAGUGCUAUGGAUACGUGUUGCUUUUUCAGUUCUCGUAGGAGGUGCGUGCGUUUCUCAGGGGCAUUCAGUCCCCUGCAGUUCUGUGUGAUGAUUUGGAAGGGGGCAUCUGUGAAUGCCAUGGCGUAGGGUCCUCAGGACACCUGGGGUUCGAGUGUGUCAGUCGCUAUAUUGGGGGGAGGAGGGGUGGUUUUGGGCCCCCCUUUUUUUUUCUCUGUUCUCCUUCCCUUCUCUUUUAAUUAGCGGGGUCACUGGGAGGGGAGAGUGGGUUAGGAAGGGAAGAGGGGGGGGGGGGGGGUUUCCAAUUAGCCAUUUUCCCUCCCUGGUGUCAGGUGACUCGUUAGUGUUACAAGGUCUCAGAUGUGAAUGGGGAGCAGGUGUGUUAAAUUUGGUGUUAUCGCUCUCACACUCUCUCAUAUUGGUCACUGGAAGUUCAACAUGGCACCUAAUGGCAAAGAACUCUCUGAGGAUCUGGAAAAAAGAAUUGUUGCUCUACAUAAAGAUGGCCUAGGCUAUAAGAAGAUUGCCGAGACCCUGAAACUGAGCUGCAGCACGGUGGGCAACACCACACAGCGGUUUCACAGGACAGGUUCCACUCCAGUGGCGUACAUACAGGGGUCACGGCUGUGACCGGGCCCUGUCCACCAGGGGGCCUGGCCGCCCUGCGACCUGGUAUGUAUGCCAGUGUAGUGGAACUCUUCUCCUGGGGGGCCCAGGAGCUGGCCACCUCAGGGCCCCCCCGAGGCUGGCCCUGGUGUCACCCGACAAGCUAGUGGGCGUGCGAGGGAGCACUCUUCCCUGAGUGCUCCAUCUUCAGCUCCCUCGCUCACCGAGGGAGCUGAAGAGGAAGCACUCAGGGGAGAGUGCUCCCUCGCGCGCGCGCCAGCCUGCCUGCUUGCCUGGUGACACCACUGGACCCUAGGGAAUCCCCUCAGCACUCCCACAGGUAAGGAGGCUGGGGGAUUACAUUUUUAAAAAAAGUGUGUGUUAGUGUGUGUGUGUGUGUUAGUGUUAGAAUGUGUGUUAGAGUGAGUGUUAGUGUGUAUGCGUCUGUUCUUGAGAGUGUGUGUGUGUGUCUUCAGCACUUACCUUUCUCCAGUGCCAGACUCCCUUGGCGCUGGGGAUCUCUCCGCCUCGCAGCUCCGAAUGCGCAUGCGCAGCAAGAGCCGCGCGCGCAUUCAAACUGCCCAUAGGAAAGCAUUACUCAAUGCUUUCCUAUGGACGUUCAGCGUCUUCUCACUGUGAUUUUCACAGUGAGAAUCGCAGAAGCCCCUCUAGCGGCUGUCAAUGAGACAGCCACUAGAGGCUGGAUUAACCCUCAGUGAAACAUAGCAGUUUCUCUGAAACUGCUAUGUUUACAGCUGCAGGAUUAAAACUAGAGGGACCUGGCACCCAGACCACUUCAUUGAGCUGAUGUGAUCUGGGUGUCUGUAGUGAUCCUUUAAGUGUAUGUGUUUCUGCAUGCUCUGGCGUACAUACUGCGGUCGCAGCCCUGUGACCCCUGCAACCAGGUGCCUGCCGCCAUGUGUUCCGGCCCACGCAGAGUAAGCGCGGGGGUGGGGGGGCCCCACGGAUCAGUUUUCGCACUGGGGCCCCAUGGGUUGUGUGUACGCCACUGUUCCACUCAGAACAGGCCUCGCCAUGGUCGACGUUGAGUGCAAGUGCUCAUAUGCAGAGGUUGUCUUUGGGAAAUAGACGUAUGAGUGCUGCCAGCAUUGCUGCAGAGGUUGAAGGGGUAGGGGGUUAGUCUGUCAGUGCUCCGACCAUAUGCCGCACACUGCGUCAAAUUGGUCUGCAUGGCUGUCGUCUCAGAAGGAAGCCUCUUCUAAAGAAGAUGCACAAGAAACCCCGCAAACAGUUUGCUGAAGACAAGCAGACUAAGGACAUGGAUUACUGGAACCAUGUCCUGUGGUCCGAUGAGACCAAGAUAAACUUAUUUGGUUCAGAUGGUGACAAGCGUGUGUCGCGGCAACCAGGUGAGGAGUACAAAGACAAGUGUGUCUUGCCUACUGUCAAGCAUGGUGAUGGGAGUGUCAUGGUCUGGGCCUGCAUGAGUGCUGCUGGCACUGGGGAGCUACAGUUCAUUGAGGGAACCAUGAAUGCCAACAUGUACUAUGACAUACUGAAGCAGAGCAUAAUCCCCUCCCUUCAGAGAUUGGGCCGCAGGGCAGUAUUCCAACAUGAUAACGACCCCAAACACGCCUCCAAGACGACCACUGCCUCGCUAAAGAAACUGAAGGUAAAGCAUCUGUGGGGCAUCCUUAAAUGGAAGGUGGGGGAGCGCUAGGUCUCUAAAAUCCACCAGCUCAGUGAUGUUGUUAUAGAAGAGUGGAAGACGACUCCAGUGGCAACCUGUGAAGCUCUGGUGAACUCCAGGCCCAUGAGGGUUAAGGCAAAGCUGGAAAGUAAUGGUGGCCACACAAAAUUUUUACACUUUGUGCCCAAUUUGGACAUUUCCACUUAGGGAUGUACUACUUUUAUUGCCAACGGUUUAGACAUUAAUGGCUGUGUGUUGAGUUAUUUUGAGGGGACAGCAAAUUUACACUGUUAUACAGGCGGUACGUUAUACUUUACAUUGUAGCAGAGUGUCAUUUCUUCAGUGUUGUCACAUGAAAAGAUAUAAUAAAAUAUUCACAAAAAUGUGAGGAGUGUGCUCACUUUUGUGAGAUACUAUAUAUAUAUAUCCUUCUGUCAGGAAGUGCAGUUUGACGUCAGGCAUGGGUGCCGCUGAUAGGCUACAACGGUCAGCUGACACUCUAAGCCAAUCGCUAGUUCCCGAUUCAUAAUUUUUUUUACAUUUUUAUGAAUGGAGAGCUGCUUAGAGAUUGGCUUAGAGUGCCAGCUGACUGUUGUAGCCAAUCAGCGGCACCCCUACCCAGCAGCCCUCUGUGUUUCCUGACAGUCAGUAAAUAAAAGUGAACACUUAAACUCUGAUAUUGUUUUUACCUGGGGAGAUGAGAAGGUCCAAAGAUUCCUGCCAGGCCCAGGUACCAAAGCCUUAUGAUGUGGUGUCCAGAAUGAAGUACUCCAAUCUAAUUUUCUUCUCCUUCAUUUGACACAGUCUUCUUUUUCUUCUGAGGCUCCUUCACCUUUCUGCUACAUUCUGCUUAUUUUGCGCCCUUCUGCUCCUUUCUCUUUCUGAUACCUUUCUGCUUCUCGCAGGCCCUUCCUGCUUCUUGCAGACCCCUCCUGCUUCUUGCAGACCCCUCCUGCUCCUUGCUGCCCCUUGCUGCUCCUUGCACCCUUCCUGCUCCUUACAGACCCUUUCUGCUCCUUGCUGACCCUUUAUGCUCCUUGCUGACCCUUACUUCUCCUUGCUGGCCCCUCCUGCUCCUUGCUGCCCCUUCCUGCUUCUUGCAGACCCCUUCCUGCUCCAUGCACCCUUCCUGCUCCAUGCACCCUUCCUUCUCCUUGCUGACCCUUCCUGCUCCUUGCUGACCCUUUCUGCUCCUUGCUGACCCUUUCUGCUCCUUUCAGCAAGGAGUAUGAAGAGUCAGCAAGGGGCAGGAGGGGUCAGCAAGGAGUAUGAAGGGUCUGCAAGAAGCAGGAAGGGACAGAAAGAAUCAGAAGGAGCACAAAGGUAAAGUAGGAGAAGGAACAGAAAGGGUCUGCAAGGAGCAGGAAGGGUCAGCAAGGAGCAGGGAGGGUCUGCAAGGAGCAGGAAGGGUCUGCAAGGGGACAGGAAGGGUCAGCAAGGGGCAGGAAGGGGCAGCAAGGAGCAGGAAGGGACAGCAAGGUGCAGAAAGGGUCUGCAAGGAGCAGGAAGGGGCAGCAAGGAGUAGAAAGGGUCUGCAAGGAGUAGAAAGGGUCUGCAAGGAGCAGGAAGGGGCAGCAAGGAGCAGGAAGGUUCUGCAAGGAGCAGACCCCUCCUGCUCCUUGCUGACCCCUCCUGCUCAUUUCUGCUCCUUGCAGACCCUUUCUACUCCUUCCUGCUCAUUUCUGCUCCUUCUACUUCACCCUCCUGCUCCUUGUAAACCUUUCCUAUCAUAUGUAUCAUAUGUCACUGUCAUAGUGUAUAGGUCACUGCUCUACAAAAAUAAAGAAUUUUAAAAAUUAAAAAAAAGACUCCACUCAGAUAGGUGAGAUGUUAAAAGGAUUUUAAUUAUAUUCACCAGAUAUUAAUAUAAACUGUGUGAUUUUAUGCAUUAGAGGUUUAGUGUUAAAUAAAAUAAUUUAGUGUAAAAUAAUGACUCUCAAAAGUUGCAUGAAAAGUGACCAAAGUAAGUUAUUUAUACAUGUUUAUAGUAGCAAUUCAUAAUUGCUAUAACUAUACAUUAUAAUAAUAAUAAAGUAGCUAAACUGGAAACAAAAGUUUGGCUUCUUUGGCCUUAAACUUUACAUUCUUUUGAAUUCGGUUUAAAUUCCCAACAAGUCCUCCUUUAGAGAAUAAACCUGCUCGGGUAUGACAGUUUAUGUUUUCAUUUUAACCUGAGCUUAUUUCCUUCCUAAACAACACACAAAUCCGCCAAAAGGGUGCAGUUUGUUUUAUUGUAAAAUGAUUUUAAAAAGAUCCACUUACAAGCACGGCAUAGGUGAUAGGCAAUAGCAGCACAUGCAGGAAUCGUUCCAUGUAAAGCCAGUUGCACAGUAGGUAGCUGGGCUACAGUGACCUAGAGAGCUAAAACAACACAUUGUGUCAAUAUAAAUAUGUUAGAAAACAAACUUUACCUCUAGAAGUAUUUUAAUCGAAGAGCAGACUGUACCUCAUCCAUUUAAAAAGACUGAUUCAUUCCAUUGUACAGCGCUAAUGAAUUUGCUGGCAAUUUAUAAAUAAUGAAAUAAUAGAAAUAAUUAUUUAUACACAUGUUUGUGAAUAUUAAUCUCCAUUGUUAUAGUAUUUUAUUUAACAAUAUGACACAAUUACCCGUUUGAACCAUCUUAUUGACGUUUGAGUAUAUUUUUCUACAUAUUGCAGUCAGGAUAUAUAAUAUAGUCCUUACUAUAUUAACAUACUUUUGUAUGUGCUUUUUAAAUGAUUUAAUAUUUUUGGAUAAACUUUAAAUCAUUUUUCAAAUUAAUAAAACAUUAAUAAAAUCUUAUAUAUAUAUAUUAAUAUAUAAAAAGGGUAUCAAAAUGUUAAAAUAUUUGUAAAAAUAUUAAUUCAUCUGAGAAGUUUAUCAAAAAAUAUCAAAUCAAUAUUUAAUCAAGGCAGUGGUCAGUAUGUAAAAAAAAUAGAGAUUUUCUAAUCUGUCUGAUUAUAUUUUUACUCUACACAGGAUCUUGGUUUACUUAGAAAAGGCACAGUAUUGGUAGCAGACAAUGCUGGGUUUUCAAAUGCCGCUGAAUUCCUUGACCACGUCAGGAAAAGUGGUCGAUAUGACUGUACCAACUUUCCAGCUCAUGUGGAGUACCUGGAUGAACCAGAUUCAGUAGAAAAAGCUGUAUUCAGAGGAUAGGAUUGUGUAUAUCAUAUUAAUGCCUUAUAACCUGUUAAAUGGUUUACACUAUUUGUGCAAAUUAUGCCAAAGAUCGGAGAAACAUAAUCAAGUGUAACAAUUCUUAAUGUGAUCUUAAUAGCAAUGCAUCACUGCUAUGCUACAUAUUAUCAUGUUUAAAUACAGAUCUCCGUAAUCAUCAGAUAUUUUACUUUUAACAAUAAGCAAAAAUAAAGCAAGAUUACUGAAGUCUUUGUUUCAUGAUUGUUGUAUUGUAAAUUAGGG
rnacentral:lncRNA from 1 species